CUGUCGUCACUUUCGCUGGCCUCAUUCUCCAAAUCUCCAGAUCUAGCCAUUCAUGGCCGAACGCAUUCGGGCAUCGAGGAAGACGAACAGUGGAAGACGAAGUUGAAGACGAACAGACGAACAAAGGAAGGCAAAGCCAAAGGCAAACAGAGAAGACGAAGCUGAAGACCACAUCUGGAGCCGACAGCAGGAAGCCGAAGCGACCAGAGCUGGCCGGUGACCCGAAGAUGAAGACGAGCAGACGCUGGAAGAAGACGAAGCCGAAGACGAAUUGAGGAAGACGACGGAAAGGGUGACUCGGUUUGGAUGUGCAGUUGGCCUGGACACGGCGUUGACGCCGGCGACGGCGGGCGGUGUGGAGGUCAAGCUCAAGAGGUGAUGUGGAAAGGGGUGAGCGUGGUUCUCGGGUAGACCGGAGCGUUCGGUUCGCUUCCCCGUUCUCUGCCCAACCCCUGUCCCCGAGAGAGCUCGCCUCGUCCCGCCGCUGGUCGCCGCUCACACCCCGCUCGCCCCGCCGCUGGACGACGCUCCCCGCUGGACCCCGCCCUUACCAACUUGGGUAAUUCAUUCCUUCUUGUUCUCUUCUUUUACUGGGUUGUCAUGAUGGUUGUUGCUGUGCUUCUACUGGUGCGAGUUUGUCUAGCUCUGAUUUCAAAUCGGUGGUGCUGUACUAAAUUCGUUUCCGAUUUGGAUUUUGUCAAUUACUUCUGGGUCUCCAGGCUCUGGAAAGACCACCUUAUUUCUAGCAUUAGCUGGGAAGCUCGGCAAAGAUUUGAAGGUAAGCAUAAAGAAAGUACUUCUAGAGCUGUCUCAAAGAGUGAAAUGUUUUGUCGUGCAAGUCACACAGGAAUCAGGAAGAGUCAUGUACAACGGACACGGGAUGGAAGAGUUUGUACCGCAGAACAUAAGUCAAUAUGAUCUCCAUAUAGGAGAAAUGACUGUUAGGGAAACUCUUGCUUUCUUGGUCAGGUGUUAAGGUGUCGGACCCCGUUAUGAGAUGCUACCAAAGUUAUCAAGAAGAGGGAAGGAGGCAAAUAUCAAACCCGAUCCUGACAUAGAUAUCUUUUAUGAAGGCAGCAUCACUGGAAGGAUAGGAGACUAAUGUAGUUACCGAUUAUAUACUCAAGAUUCUGGGUCUUGAAAUAUGUGCCGACACAAUGUUGGGAGAUGAAAUGAUAAGAGACAUCUCCAGUGGACAAAAGAAACGAGCCACAAUGGGGAGAUGCUAGUAGGGCCAGCCAACAUAUUUUUGUCAUCAUGAAGAUUUGUUCCUAGAAUUUUAAAGAGGACAGUAAGCAUUUGCAAGAAGGGAGAGUAGUUUCCCUUGGAGGAUAUGGUGAAAAGCUGAAUAUUAUUGGGUGAAAUUUUAAACUGGAAUUCUUAGUAAUUUAUAUGGCUGGGGCUCUUGGUGGUUCAAUAUUCUACUUGGUGCACCAUGCUUUCUUGCGUCCACAAUUGAAGGGUCAAGGAAUGUUUAGGAUAAACCAUUCGAGAAUGCCAGGAUUGGGAGACAGUGAGACAUUGGAGGAGCUGCAGUUGCAGCGAUCGCAUGGCCCUGACUCAGGAUAGGUGGGUGGUCAAGGUGAUUGCCUCCAAGGUGCUGCUGAAAACUUAUACAGUAGCUGGCAGAAAUGGCUCCGCAGAUUCGUCAAAUGCUGAAAGAGCUGACAUAACAAUGGAUGAUGAACUCUCUAAUCUGUGCGAAAAGGGAAUUUUCUGGUCAGCAAAGACAUGUUGAGGAUGAUCGAGGGAGACAGUGAGAUAUUGGGAUUGGCUUACUUAGGAGGAGCUGCAAUUGCAGCAAUCACAUGAGGCCGAGUCGGGAUAGGGCGGUUUUAAAUCUUCCACUGCUCAUGUUGAUUUCGGUUUGCAUAACUGGUAUUUUUCCCCGUAGUGCUUCUUCAUUUUUAUGAAGUGGGUGGUCAAGGUGAUUGCCUCCAAGGUGCUGCUGAAAACUUAUACAGCAGCUGGCAGAAAUGGCUCCGCAGAUUCAUCAAAUGCUGAAAGAGCUGACAUAACAGUGGACGACGAGCUCUCUAAUCUGUGUGAAAAGGUGCUAGCUCUUCCACCCUUGCUGAUCGGCAGCUUCAACGAGGAAAUUAAAUUCAAGCAGUCAGAGUUGAGCUCCAUUUUAAGACUUCUUCGAGGAGAGAGUACAGUGUGUGGACAAAAGCAAGGGUUUCCGUCUGAUAUACUGAUGCAGCCCUCACUGAUCUAGCAAAGCCAUCGACCAGAGAUCCGGCGGUGUUGCACACAAUGCAGGCUACAAUACCUUCGGUUGAGCCCAGUGAAUUCUGGGUGGAUUGAAUGAUACCAGAUGACUCUGGUUGGAGACCUCGGAAUACGGUGCUAUUUCGUGUCUUCCAGAUAAGCCAAAGAACUCCUGAGACGAGUUCAAAUUUCAGGCCGGAUUCUCCCAGAUAAGCUUCAUCCAAGGGCAAAGCAAGAACAGAUUGGGCACGAGGGGUCAGGUGAGUGCGUGGAGAGGUCCGAGAGUUGUAGAGAGCAACCAGUCCUCACCUAAGUCUUUGGGGUUGCUGCACUUAAGGGGGACUGACUUCACCUUCAAUGAAGGAAAUAAGUAGAGCAUUCGCCAAAGGCGGGGGAGGGUUUUACGAAGACAAUGAGAAGGGUGGUUGAAAGAGGAAGAGAAAGGGAAACUGUAUUAGGGGAUUAGGGUUUAAGGUGGGUUUGGAGGGUUAGGGUUUCUACCUCCAUGGGGAGUAGAGGCCAUCUCUUCCAGGCGAGAGAGCAUUUAUAAUUGGUCUGUUUACUAGAAACAUCUAACGAUUCUCUGAAAGCUAUUCGCCUUUAGGUGCACACGAACUGGAUGGAUCUCAUCUUUUGGAUCGCAUGGGUUCUGCAUGGAUUUCAAUGAUUUAAGGGUCGAGAUUUGCUGGGCUAAUGAAUAUGCGGAGCAUCUAGACAACCUUCCAGCUUAAAGGCAAAUCUCUCCUACCCGACCUCUGAUGGGAGGGGAACACAAAUUUUCUCAUUUACAGGUAAAUAUAACACAUGCGAUGUUGUUUCGACUAAUUGGUCGGGUUGUUCUUGCGCUUAGUUGAUAGGUCGGGUUGUUCUUGCGCUUAGUUGAUAGGUCGGGUUGUUCUUGCGCUUAGUUGAUAACUAUAGCUCGUAAGGUAUCAAGCACUCUGUCUGAGUUUUCCAAGGAAGAAAGAGCUUUUCCCUUGUCACAGAUGAUAACAGUCUCUUCGGCUUGUAGAAUUGUAUUGUUCAUCUAUACCUCAGUAUCCUAUUGGGUUUGAAACAUAAAAUUCAAAUUUUGUAAACUGGUCUUACUAUUGCCCUUAUGCUUUG